rnacentral:rRNA from 1 species
UACGGGGGGGGCAAGCGUUGUUCGGAAUUACUGGGCGUAAAGGGCUCGUAGGCGGCCAACUAAGUCAGACGUGAAAUCCCUCGGCUUAACCGGAGAACUGCGUCUGAUACUGGAUGGCUUGAGGUUGGGAGAGGGAUGCGGAAUUCCGUGUGUAGAGGUGAAAUUCGUAGAUAUUCGGAAGAACACCAGUGGCGAAGGCGACUGACUGGACAAGUAUUGACGCUGAGGUGCGAAAGCGUGGGGAGCAAACAGG